rnacentral:lncRNA from 1 species
GGACUUCCAAUCAGAAUAAAGGAUUCAUGGCCAUCACCGCACAUUUUAUAGAUGAUGCUUGGAGACUUUAAAGUCGUAUUAUGAGGUAUUUAUCUUGUAUGAAAUUAAUUUAGCUUAUUGUUACAUAAUAUUUAAAAUUUAUUUUUGUCGUAAUAAUGUUAUUUUAUUUAUUGGAUAAUGUUCAUAUAUGUGCCGUGUCCGCACACGUCUGAGGCAUUGAGUAUAUUGUUGAUGGAUUGCUUAUCGAAUUGGAAUAUUGAUCGUAAGUUGUCUACUUUAACUAUCGAUAAUUGUACUACGAAUGAUGCCAUGAUCAAUAUUGUUUUAGAUAAACUUUUCCAUAGUUCACUUAUGCUAAAUGGUGAAUUUUUUUCAUUUGCAUUGUUGUGCACAUAUAUUGAACUUGAUAGUUAAAGAUGGUUUAGAGAUCAUUAGCUCUAGUGUUGAGAAAAUUAGUGAUAAUGUUGCAUAGUGGACAGUAACUCCAAAAAGAUUCGAGAACUUUGAGACUUCAGCACGUCAAUUGAAAAUUUAUCGUUCCAAAAAGUUAGCGCUAGAUUGCAAAAUGAGGUGGAACUCUACCUAUUUAAUGCUUCAUGGUGCUUUACAAUAUAUGGAUGUUUUUUCUCAACUAAAGCAACGUGAGACACAAUAUAAAUGUUUGCCUAGUGAUGUAGAUUGGAAUUUAGCGAAAGAGAUACGUGAAAGGUUGGGGGUGUUUUUUGAAGUGGCUGAAAUAUUUUCUGGGACUAAGUACCCAACAUCCAAUCUUUAUUUUUCUAAUAUUUGUGAGAUAAAGUUGUCAAUUUAUGAUUAAAUGAAAUCUUCUUAUGAUGAAAUCAAGAUGAUUGCUUCAAGUAUGAUUGAUAAGUUUGAAAAAUAUUGGAGUGAGAUUCAUGGAAUUUUGGUAGUAGAUAGUGUGUUGGAUCCAAGAUUUAAAAUGAAGUUGGUUGAAUAUUAUUUUCCAAUGAUUUAUGGAAAUGAAGUUUUGGAUCUUGAGAUUCAAAAUGUUAGAAGAUUUUGUCAUAAACUUCUAAAUGAGUACAAAAUAAGCCAUGGAUCAAGUGGUAAUAGGAUCGAAUCUUCAAACCGAAUUGAGAUAUUUACUAAUAUGAGCAAAAAGGAUCGGUUGGCACAAUUUGAUUUAUUUUUUCUAAUACGACGAGUACUGAUAGUAUGAAAUCAGAGCUUGGCACUUUCUUAGACGAGCCCAUACUGCCUAGAUCAAUUGAUUUUGACAUAUUGGCAUAGUGGAAUACAAAUUCAAUAAAAUAUCAUCUUUUGCAAAAGUUGCAAGAGAUAUUUUAGCAUUCCAGUAUCUACUAUGGCGUCAGAGUCUCAAUUCAGUACCAGUGAUAGAUUUGUUAGUCCACACAGAAAUAGGCUUCAUCUAAAGACUUUGGAAGCUUUAAUGUGUGCUCAAGAUUGGUUAUGGUCCAACAUUCAUGGUAUGAGAAAUAUAACUAUCUAUGUUAUUUUAUAAUUGUUAUUUAUGUUAUUUUUUUUUAUUACUAACUAGUUUUAUUUUUUGUUAGAGCAUUCGUCGCCUACAUCAUAUUCUGGAUGCUGUACAAAAUUAAGUGACAUGGAUAUUGAAGAAAAGGUAAAUUGAUUUUCCUUUUAAUGGACUUGAGUAAUAAAUAGUUAGACAUAUCGUUUGUCUAACUAAUACACUUCUUCAGUCAUCAAUUUUUAAGGAGCUAGAUAUAGACAUUCUAGAAGAAGAUGUCAGUUCUUGAAUAUCUACAACAUGAAGUGCUGCAUUAUGCGAUGUUUCUCUACAAGCUACGUCGUAAUUUAUCCAAUAGUUUGCACGAUUAGAAUAUAUUAGACAUAUUUUUAGUUGAGUGAAUGUAUUGUUUGUGGAUUUAAGUUAUGGUGAAAGACAAUUAUUUUGGCAUUGAUUAUUUGAUUUUCAUUUAACGAUUGAGAAGAUAUUUGAUGUUGAACAAUUCAACAUAUU